UGAGGAAUAUUGGACAAUGGGCGAGAGCCUGAUCCAGCCAUGCCGCGUGCAGGAAGACGGCCUUAUGGGUUGUAAACUGCUUUUUUACAGGAAGAAAUGUUACUACGCGUAGUAAUUUGACGGUACUGUAAGAAUAAGGACCGGCUAACUCCGUGCCAGCAGCCGCGGUAAUACGGAGGGUUCGAGCGUUAUCCGGAUUUAUUGGGUUUAAAGGGUUCGUAGGCGGAGUAUUAAGUCAGAGGUGAAAGUUUGCCGCUCAACGGUAAAAUUGCCUUUGAUACUGGUAUUCUUGAGUAUUUGUGAAGUUGCUGGAAUAUGGAGUGUAGCGGUGAAAUGCAUAGAAAUUCCAUGGAACGCCAAUUGCGAAGGCAUGUAACUAACAAAUUACUGACGCUGAUGGACGAAAGCGUGGUUAGCGAACGGGAUUAGAUACCCCCGUAGUCC
rnacentral:rRNA from 1 species